AUGAACGCUAGCUACAGGCUUAACACAUGCAAGUCGAGGGGCAGCAUCAUCAAAGCUUGCUUUGAUGGAUGGCGACCGGCGCACGGGUGAGUAACACGUAUCCAACCUGCCGACAACACUGGGAUAGCCUUUCGAAAGAAAGAUUAAUACCGGAUGGCAUAGUUUUCCCGCAUGGGAUAAUUAUUAAAGAAUUUCGGUUGUCGAUGGGGAUGCGUUCCAUUAGGCAGUUGGCGGGGUAACGGCCCACCAAACCAACGAUGGAUAGGGGUUCUGAGAGGAAGGUCCCCCACAUUGGAACUGAGACACGGUCCAAACUCCUACGGGAGGCAGCAGUGAGGAAUAUUGGUCAAUGGACGAGAGUCUGAACCAGCCAAGUAGCGUGAAGGAUGACUGCCCUAUGGGUUGUAAACUUCUUUUAUACGGGAAUAAAGUUAGCCACGUGUGGCUUUUUGUAUGUACCGUAUGAAUAAGGAUCGGCUAACUCCGUGCCAGCAGCCGCGGUAAUACGGAGGAUCCGAGCGUUAUCCGGAUUUAUUGGGUUUAAAGGGAGCGUAGGCGGGUUGUUAAGUCAGUUGUGAAAGUUUGCGGCUCAACCGUAAAAUUGCAGUUGAUACUGGCGACCUUGAGUGCAACAGAGGUAGGCGGAAUUCGUGGUGUAGCGGUGAAAUGCUUAGAUAUCACGAAGAACUCCGAUUGCGAAGGCAGCUUACUGGAUUGUAACUGACGCUGAUGCUCGAAAGUGUGGGUAUCAAACAGGAUUAGAUACCCUGGUAGUCCACACAGUAAACGAUGAAUACUCGCUGUUGGCGAUAUACGGUCAGCGGCCAAGCGAAAGCAUUAAGUAUUCCACCUGGGGAGUACGCCGGCAACGGUGAAACUCAAAGGAAUUGACGGGGGCCCGCACAAGCGGAGGAACAUGUGGUUUAAUUCGAUGAUACGCGAGGAACCUUACCCGGGCUUAAAUUGCAACUGACGGAAUCGGAAACGGUUCUUUCUUCGGACAGUUGUGAAGGUGCUGCAUGGUUGUCGUCAGCUCGUGUCGUGAGAUGUUGGGUUAAGUCCCGCAACGAGCGCAACCCUUAUUGCAAGUUACUACGCAAGAGGACUCUGGCGAGACUGCCGUUGACAAAACGGAGGAAGGUGGGGAUGACGUCAAAUCAGCACGGCCCUUACGUCCGGGGCUACACACGUGUUACAAUGGGGGGUACAGAAGGCAGCUACACGGCGACGUGGUGCUAAUCCCGAAAGCCUCUCUCAGUUCGGAUUGGAGUCUGCAACCCGACUCCAUGAAGCUGGAUUCGCUAGUAAUCGCGCAUCAGCCACGGCGCGGUGAAUACGUUCCCGGGCCUUGUACACACCGCCCGUCAAGCCAUGAAAGCCGGGGGUACCUGAAGUACGUAACCGCGAGGAGCGUCCUAGGGUAAAACUGGUGAUUGGGGCU
rnacentral:rRNA from 1 species